AGAACGAACGCUGGCGGCAUGCCUAACACAUGCAAGUCGAACGAGACCUUCGGGUCUAGUGGCGCACGGGUGCGUAACGCGUGGGAAUCUGCCCUUAGGUUCGGAAUAACUCAGAGAAAUUUGAGCUAAUACCGGAUGAUGACGUAAGUCCAAAGAUUUAUCGCCUAGGGAUGAGCCCGCGUAGGAUUAGCUAGUUGGUGAGGUAAAGGCUCACCAAGGCGACGAUCCUUAGCUGGUCUGAGAGGAUGAUCAGCCACACUGGGACUGAGACACGGCCCAGACUCCUACGGGAGCAGCAGUGGGGAAUAUUGGACAAUGGGCGAAAGCCUGAU
rnacentral:rRNA from 1 species